rnacentral:rRNA from 1 species
UUGUCGUCAGCUCGUGUCGUGAGAUGUUGGGUUAAGUCCCGCAACGAGCGCAACCCUUGUGUUUAGUUGCAAACAGGUCAAGCUGUGCACUCUAGACAGACUGCCGUGGACAACACGGAGGAAGGUGGGGGAUGACGUCAAAUCAUCAUGGCCCUUAUGUCCUGGGCUACACACGUGCUACAAUGGCCGGUACAGAGCGCAGCGAGGCCGCGAGGCGGAGCGAAUCGCUUAAAGCCGGUCCCAGUACGGAUUGGAGUCUGCAACCCGACUCCAUGAAGUUGGAAUCGCUAGUAAUCGCGCAUCAGCAUGGCGCGGUGAAUACGUUCCCGGGCCUU